rnacentral:rRNA from 1 species
UAGUCUCGCACAGAUGCAUAUCAAUAAGCGGAGGAAAAGAAACUAACAAGGAUUCCCCUAGUAACGGCGAGUGAAGCGGGAAGAGCUCAAAUUUGAAAUCUUAAAGGGUUUCCCUUUACGAAUUGUAGUUUAAAGAAGUGUUUUCUGUUGAGGUUUUGGUAAAAGUUCUUUGGAAUAGGACAUCAUAGAGGGUGAGAAUCCCGUAUUUGACCUUUACUUUCAACUUUGUGAUACACUUUCAAAGAGUCGGAUUGUUUGGGAAUGCAGUCCAAAAUGGGUGGUAAAUUUCAUCUAAAGCUAAAUAUUGGCGAGAGACCGAUAGCGAACAAGUACCGUGAGGGAAAGAUGAAAAGAACUUUGAAAAGAGAGUUAAACAGUACGUGAAAUUGUCAAAAGGGAAGCGUUUGACACCAGUGUUGUUUUUCUGAAAAUCAAUUAAAGAACUGUUUAUGCUAAGUUGUUUAGACUUUAUCAGCUAACUGUUUAGUUUUGAGCUUUUCUUUAAUGCACUUCUCAGUUAACAAGUCAACAUCAAUUUCUUUUGCUGUAAAAAAGCUUGAGGAAGGUGGCUUGAGAUUCGUCUUAAGUGUUUAUAGCCUCUUGCCUAUGCAGUCGGAGAGAUUGAGGUCUGCAGCGUAGAUCCUUCGGGGCUAAAUGCAUUUGUGCUAAGUCAUAACAUUUUAUAGACAACUUGUUGACUAUGAUUUGUCUUGUAGCUUACUCGCUUAUGUUAUUUUACCUACGCUUAGGAUGUUGAUCUGUAGUGCGUGCGC